rnacentral:rRNA from 1 species
GGCUUUUGAAAAACAUAAAAGGUCGUGCCUUCCCGGUGGGCAAUGAGCCUAAACGGACGCGGUAAAUCGUGCUAAGGUAGCUAAAUUAUGGCCUAUUAAUUGUAGGCCCUGUGAAUGGUUUGACGAGUCUUCGUCUGUCUCGAAGUUAUUUAGGUGAAAUUUAAUUAAAUGUGCAAAUGCAUUUAUGGGUAAGAAAGACGAGAAGACCCCGUGAAGUUAAAAAUUUUUGUUGUAAUGUUAGUCUCUGGAGGUUAAGUGACUUAGUGUUAAUUUUAUUUAGUGAGGUUAAAUUAAUUCUUUAAAGGUUAAUUUAAUUUUCUAGAUCGAGGAAGUAGGGGGAUGCGACAAUUAAGUUUUGGCUGGGGCAGCAAAAAGGCAAAACUAGACCUUUUUUGUUUACUAACGGGUGCGUUAUGAUCCAUAUAGUUGGAAAGAUGUGCUUAACAGAAGAAGUUACUCCGGGGAUAACAGCGUUAUCCAUCCUGAUAGUUCUUAUAGAUGGGUGGGUUUGCGACCUCGAUGUUGGCUCUGGGUAUCCUGAAGCUGUAGGUGGUUUCAAAGGUUGGUUUGUUCGCCCAUUAAAACCCA